rnacentral:rRNA from 1 species
UACGUAGGGGGCAAGCGUUGUCCGGAUUUAUUGGGCGUAAAGAGCGUGUAGGCGGCCGCACAGGUCCGUUGUGAAAACUGGAGGCUUAACCUUCAGACGUCGAUGGAAACCGUGCGGCUAGAGUCCGGAAGAGGAGAAUGGAAUUCCUGGUGUAGCGGUGAAAUGCGCAGAUAUCAGGAAGAACACCGGUGGCGAAGGCGGUUCUCUGGGAAUAUCCUGACGCUGAGGAGCGAAAGUGUGGGGAGCGAACAGG